UCUUCCUCCAACGUCCACGAACAAAGUAACUUUGUUCUCUACGCGUACAACAUUCUUUUUUCUGUCAUCGUGAAUGGCUUUGACAAAUGAUCUUUGGUGUAGUGUAAAAAUAUGUAAUGCUGAAUGCGACGGAACAGCAUGCAAUGGCGAAAUCGCGAUGCACCAAUGACUAAACAGCACAAGUCUCCGUUGAAAAUUUAAGUACCCGCCGGACAAAAGAGCUGCUUACGGCAACGAAAGAACACGGACCUCUCGUUGAAGCGGUAAGCGGUACUGAUCGGUUGUGCGCGAAAAGUUAACCUAUAAAUGCGAAGCGUCUCACACGCGUCCCCUCCCUAUCUCACAAUUACGUGGCGCGACAACCAGACGACACUCGAAUUUGCAUCGUUCAUGAUUCUAAAAGAAGCCUUGAAUUUUCACACGAAAUACGCUUUAUACAAGGCGCAACGGUUCGAUACAAAAUCCGCCUAAAGGAGAAAAAAUCAAUACGAGAACGGUUAUAGUAUUUAAAACGACCAAAUUACAUACUAAAUUAUAAACUUUCUCCUUGUUUUUCUCCAUGUUGCAAAUAACCGUACGAGCAGUUGAUGCAAUCUUAAACGAUAUAGAAUUAAGGAAAGAUGUUAUAUUUGAAGAGGACAAAGAAAAAACAGACAAUAAAAUGGCAGAGAAUCGGUUUAAAAAUUUCAACGGCCGUUUCCAUAUAGCUAUAGCAUGGUCAAGUGUAUUUGAUAUAAGAUGAUUUGUAUCCUAACGAAAGUGUUACAUAAAUGAAAGCUAUAAAGCAUUAAGAAGCUGUGAUCAUGAUGUAAACAGUA